GGGCUUUGAUGAGAUACCGAGAAAGUCACGCACCACUCUGAUAAUCUUAUCUCAGGCGAUGAUAAAUUUCUCUCACCCAUAUAGGCUC